rnacentral:rRNA from 1 species
UACGGAAGGUCCGGGCGUUAUCCGGAUUUAUUGGGUUUAAAGGGAGCGUAGGCCGGAGAUUAAGCGUGUUGUGAAAUGUAGACGCUCAACGUCUGCACUGCAGCGCGAACUGGUUUCCUUGAGUACGCACAAAGUGGGCGGAAUUCGUGGUGUAGCGGUGAAAUGUUUAGAUAUCACGAAGAACUCCGAUUGCGAAGGCAGCUCACUGGAGCGCAACUGACGCUGAAGCUCGAAAGUGCGGGUAUCGAACAGG